rnacentral:rRNA from 1 species
CAUGCUGUAAACGAUGCGGACUAGGUGUUGCGGGUUGAAUCCCCUGCAGUGCCGCAGCCAACGUGAUAAGUCCGCCACCUGGGGACUACGGCCGCAAGGUUAAAACUCAAAGGAAUUGACGGGGGCCCGCACAAGCAGCGGAGCGUGUGGUUUAAUUCGAGGCUACACGAAGAACCUUACCUGGGCUUGACAUGGUGGUGGUAGGGAAGCGAAAGCGGACCGACCUUCGGGAGCCAUCACAGGUGC